GGUUUAUCCAAUCAAAGGUCUCCUCGCAGUAACUCAUCAUUAGACCCCAAACAGGAGGAAUGUAAAUUUUUUUUUUUGAUAACUCAGUGUCCAGACCACACAGUGAUCUGACUAGUCCACUGGGCCGAAGCCCGCGACCAGGGAUUUUUGAGCCUCCACUUAAGGGCCCCCUGGAACUGGUGGUCUGAGGCGGCAGAGCAAAUCCGCAUGUUAAUUCCCUGGUGGCCAGGAAUCAAUUUGUAAAUUUGUAACAAAGCUUUUUGUUUUUGUUUAAGUUAGUGAUUUU
rnacentral:sRNA from 1 species